UACGUAGGGUGCAAGCGUUGUCCGGAAUCAUUGGGCGUAAAGAGCGUGUAGGCGGCCCGGUAAGUCCGCUGUAAAAGUCAAAGGCUCAACCUUUGAAUGUCAGUGGAUACUGCCGGGCUAGAGUCCGGAAGAGGCGAGUGGAACUCCUGGUGCAGCGGUGGAAUGCGCAGAUAUCAGGAAGAACACCAACGGCGAAGGCAGCUCGCUGGGACGGUACUGACGCUGAGACGCGAAAGCGUGGGGAGCGAACAGG
rnacentral:rRNA from 1 species